rnacentral:lncRNA from 1 species
UGUGACCUUGAACCAGCAUUCAGCAGUGAUUGAUGACUUUGAUGAGAGCAGUUCUGGUGGAGGGAUGCGGACAAAGCCUGAUUGAAAUGAUUUCAAGAGACAAUGGAAGGAGCAAAAUAGGAGCAGCAAGUAUAGAUAUUAAAAAAAGAAGCUUUGCAAUAAAGGUGAAAAACGGUAUGUAAUAUCUUUGAAACGAUAGGUGACAUAUAUUGAGUACUUACUGUGUGACAGACACCGUUUCAGGUACUUGUAUUUUGUUUAAUGAGGAAUAAAGAAUUGAGGCAGUCCUUGCUUUGCAUGAUAGCAAGGACCAUGCAAGCGAAAACUAUGCAAAGCAAUCUUCAAAAUCAAUGGGAAGGAUUAUGAUUGUCGUGUGACCUUUAAAAAUUUUUGUCAAAACGUUCAAAACUCUAUAACUGGUGAUUAUUCAUGUAUUUGGAAGUGAAAAAAUAGUAAAACUAAUAUUUAUAGUACACUGUAAUUUAUGACAUUAGGAACA